rnacentral:rRNA from 1 species
UACAGAGGGUGCGAGCGUUAAUCGGAAUUACGGGGCGUAAAGCGUGCGUAGACGGUAGCGUAAGUCAGAUGUGAAAGCCCCGGGCUCAACCUGGGAACUGCAUUUGAGACUGCUCUGCUCGGGUGCGGAAGAGGGAAGCGGAAUUUCCGGUGUAGCGGUGAAAUGCGUAGAUAUCGGAAGGAACACCAGUGGCGAAAGCGGCUUCCUGGUCCGACACCGACGUUCAGGCACGAAAGCGUGGGGAGCAAACAGG